rnacentral:misc_RNA from 1 species
CUGAGAGGCGAGGGGUCUGAGAUCUGCGUGAGCAGGUCUCUGCCCCGAGCCAGAACGUGGAGUGUCGUGAUGUCCGCCUGGAUGAUCGACGCUCCUGCACUUGCUCUCGCAAGAGAGUGAGCACAAACAUGUACUUUUGACAUUUACCAACAACUAUUUAU